GACGAACGCUGGCGGCGUGCUUAACACAUGCAAGUCGCACGGAGUGGCGAACGGGUGAGUAACACGUGGGUGACCUGCCCUGCACUUCAGGAUAAGACUGGGAAACUGGGUCUAAUACCUGCUCGUGUGGGAUGGGCCCGAGGCCUAUCAGCUUGUUGGUGGGGUAAUGGCCUACCAAUGCGGCGACGGGUUGCCGGCCUGUGAGGGUGGACAGCCACAUGGUGACUGUGACAAGGCCCAGAUGGCGAUAGGAGGCAGCAGGGGGGAAUAUUGCACAAUGGGGGGAAGCGUGAUGCGGCGGCGCCGGGUGGGUGAUGACGGACUUCGGGUUGGAAACUCCUUUCGCCAGCGACGCGGUAGAUGGAGAAGAAGCACCGGCUAACUACGUGCCAGCAGCCGCGGUAAUAC
rnacentral:rRNA from 1 species